AAAAAAAAAAAAAAAAAGAGGGUUGUGCGCGGGGCUCAAACCGUGAUAAAACUGGGCAGAGCUAUGCAGUCAGCCACCCCUCCCCCACCCCUUUCGCGCCUGCUCAGCUAUGUACUCCUGGGUGCCUGGCAACAGUGGAGUGCUUUAGGCCUUUUCUAGAAUGCGUGCAAACGGAACCAUACCUAAGUGAUGUCUGGCUUUUUUAAAUUAGCACAAUGCUUUGAGGUUCAUCCUAUUGUGUUUAAUUAGUAAUUCCUUUGUGUUAUUGCUGAAUGGUAGUCUAUCGUGUGGAUAUGCCACAGUUUAUUUAUCCAUUCACCAAUUGAUGAGCCUGUCGGUUGUAGGAAACAGGAGAAAACUUCCCCUUUGCCCUCUGAAGGGUCACCGAAAAUCAACUGACAAGGCUGGGCCUGGGCUCCUGCCUGUAAUCCCAGCUCUUUUUUAGGCCAAGGCAGGAGUAUCUCUUCUUUGUGUAGUGUGUAUUCAAAUGUGUUGACCAUUUAUUUAUUAGCUAGCUUGACUUAUUAUCUAAGAGUUCUUUAUAUAUUAUAUUUGAGUUCUUUAUAUGUUUCAUACCGUGUUCUUUAUUAGCUAUACGUUUUGAAAUGGUUUCUACCUGUCUGUGGCUUGCCUCUUCAUUUUAAGUGUCCUUUGAAGCACUGAAGUUUUAAAUUUUCAUGUAAUUUAUCCAUUUUUUCUUUUACAUAGUUCAUACCUUUUUUGUCCUACUUAAGAGUUUUUGCUACACUCAAGAUUAUAAGAUUUCCUCAGUUGUUACCUUCUAGAAGUUUUAUAAGUUUUGGUUUCCAUUAUAUUUAAAAUGAAUUAUUCUUUAUAGUAUUGAUAGAUGCAGGAGGCAGAAGAGGGAGGGUCCCUGGAGAAUCUCUGACCUGCCCCACAAGCUUUUGUGCAGCUGCGGAAGCCUGCCCAGGGUCUUGUCUGGGCAUGCCCACAAGGCACUUGGGGGCCCACCUGCACUGGGAGAGUGGGUUGCAGCCACAGGGAAUUCAGCCUUAUGCAGCAGGGAGGAGCAAGACGUCUUCAGCUUGUGUGCGUAGACCUAUUAUUCAGUCUGUGAGCCGGGAGCCUUUUGGCAGGACCCUCCUUGUUUUUUUUGCUGAGAGCUUUCUUUUAAUAAAUGCCACUCUUCACCUUUCAAUGUAUUCAUGUGCCUAAUUGUUCCUGGUCAUGAGACAAGAACCUGGAUUUUAGCUGAGCUAAGAAGCAAAAAUUCCUGCAUCAGUAUAAGAUGGGGAAGCCAGAAGGGAGUUGGUUUUCCCCUGGAGUUGAGGCGCUUAGCGGCCCGGGCUGUCCUCCGACUGCCCUGGCCAAACUCCGCAUUGUUCUCCUGGUCGAUGGCCUGCCAGUGCUAGUGCCUUCAGAAUGGUUCUUGCCACACAGUACCUACUGUGUAAGGAAGAACAGAAGGAUCCAAGCGUGAGAAAGCCCACCCUGAGUCUCUCAGAGGUGAUUAUGACUACGUGAGCAUGGUCACUACCAGGUCAAAGACACAAUCAAAUGGAAUUUGUGGAAUUGGAACAAAAAGCUUUUCUUCCUAGGCACAAGAACAUCAAAGCAUAAAUUCUUCCAGUAUCAGCAAUGACAUCACUUAAGAGUCUCUCAGAAUCUUAGGCACCACCCCAGGCCUACUGGAUCAGAAUCUGAAUUUUUUAACAAGAUCUCAGAUCCUGAAUUCCAGCAGAAUGGCUGACAUCAACUGGUCUGAAGACCCCCAUCGAGGAACCGACUCAGUGCUGGAAUGCAGUUUCUUCAUCUCCCUAUCCCUGACUUCACCUCCCACUUCUCAGCCAAUCAGUGAUCACCACACUUUAGGCCAUCACCUGUGUCCAGACCCCUUAAAAACCCUGUCCACAAACCUCUUGAUAAGGCAUAUUUGAGGUUUCCUCUUAUCUCCUCAUUUGGUUGCCCUACAAGAAUUAAACUCUUUCUCUGCAACAACUCCUACUGUUUCAGUGUAUUGGUCUAUUACUGUGCAACAGGAAAUCAAACCUGAUUGUCCUAUAAUAAGAGUUCACAGAAUAUGAUAUACAAAGUGAUCUGUGAUAUACAAAAAAACAGCACAACCUCACUCUUAAUAAGAAAAAUUCAACUUAAAAUUAAAAGGUUUUUUUUCCUCAGAAUGGCAAAGAUCAAAGUUUGAUAACAUGGUUGGAAAGUAUGUGGACCGAUAUUCUCAUAUUCAUUGAUGAAAUGUAAAUUGAUACAUCCUUUGUCAGUGCUGACAGGUUUCCCAACUCUAGAGGUGCAAUUUAUACAGACAUCAGUGUGAAUGACAACCACUUCAAGUUGAGUGACAUGAUGACCCUGACUCUGUGGAGGGUCAUUUGACAAAAUAUCUCAAAAUAAAAAUAUACAUACAAUUUGA